rnacentral:rRNA from 1 species
UACGGAGGGUGCAAGCGUUAUCCGGAUUCACUGGGUUUAAAGGGUGCGUAGGAGGGCAGGUAAGUCAGUGGUGAAAUCUCCAAGCUUAACUUGGAAACUGCCGUUGAUACUAUCUGUCUUGAAUAUUGUGGAGGUGAGCGGAAUAUGUCAUGUAGCGGUGAAAUGCUUAGAUAUGACAUAGAACACCAAUUGCGAAGGCAGCUUGCUACACAGUUAUUGACACUGAGGCACGAAAGCGUGGGGAUCAAACAGG